rnacentral:lncRNA from 1 species
ACUGGUUCAAAAGAUGAUAGGCAGUCAAGAUUCAGCAAUCAAAACCCAAAACAAACUUUGUGGGAAAAAAAAGAGAAAGAAAGAUGAAGAGAAUUUUGAUAUGGAUCCGCCUUAACUGUCCUAAGGCUGGAUUUCUCUUCAGCCAGCAGGGUUUCUCUUCCACCACUCCCCCUGGAUUUCUCUUCAGAAGUGAUUCAAGCCAAAACUUUUACUCUUUUUCUUUUCUUUUUUUUUUAUCUUUUUUUUUUUUUUUUUAAAUAACUGGCGAUCACGGGAAGGGUCAGCGUGCUGAGUCCAAGGACCAACGUGCUGAUAUGUGUAUUGAUGGACAGCCAUGGACGUCCUGUGUGUGCUGAUGGACACACACAGACACACACGGACAGCCACGGAUGUCCUGUGUGUGCUGACGGACACCCACAGACUUCCUGUGUGUGCUGAUGGACACCCACAGACAUCUUGUGUGUACUGAACAGACAGCCCACGUUAGCCAAAAUCACCCAAACAGUCCACGAGAAGGGCCAGCGUGCUGAGUCCAU